AAUGGGGGAAACCCUGACCAAGCAACGCCGCGUGGGUGAUGAAGUCUCUUGGGACGUAAAACCCUUCGACGGGGAAGAAAACCGCAAGGUUUGACGGUACCCGUAGAAGAAGCCCCGGCUAACUCCGUGCCAGCAGCCGCGGUAAUACGGGGGGGGCGAGCGUUGUUCGGAAUUACUGGGCGUAAAGGGCGCGUAGGCGGUUCGCUAAGUUGGAUGUGAAAACCCUGGGCUCAACCCAGAGCCUGCAUCCAAAACUGGCGGGCUAGAGUUCUGGAGGGGGUAGCGGAAUUCCUGGUGUAGCGGUGAAAUGCGUAGAUAUCAGGAGGAACACCGGUGGCGAAGGCGGCUACCUGGACAGAAACUGACGCUGAGGCGCGAAAGCUAGGGGAGCAAACAGGAUUAGAUACCCUGGUAGUCCUAGCCCUAAACGAUGGAUACUUGGUGUGACUGGGAUUGAAUCCAGUCGUGCCGAAGCUAACGCAUUAAGUAUCCCGCCUGGGGAGUACGGUCGCAAGGCUG
rnacentral:rRNA from 1 species